UCCCCUUUUGCUCUUCCAAAAGUUACCUUAAAACUUAUCCUUCUAGCCAUCUAUUAGCUAAAAAGCUGUCAUCAGUAGUUUGCUUUCUGAGCAUUAGAUAAGUUUCCACACGUGAGGAUUUCGUUAACCCAGCAAGAAAAUUUUGAAUGGUCUUUCCGUCCGCCAGAUCUGCCGGUGUCGUGCUCGUUGCGACGGUGUUCAGAAGUCGAGCCCUCGAGAUUGAAACGAUGGAAUCAGACACCCUUCGGGUGAAAAGGAGAGGGAGCGUCAGCUUGUCCCCUACCGAGAGCUUGUGCAUAUCCUUUGCAAAUUACAUAUCGAGAAGCUGCAAUGUCUAUUUGAAAUGAUACCUAUCCAGUUGGCUGUCGCACUAUCAUUAACACUACAGUCAUAAAUAAUCAAUGAAUCCAAUCACUAUCGCGUUAAUAUAGAUUAACCAUUAUGAUUGAUGUACAUAUCAUUGCUAACUAUUACAAUCAUGAAUAAUGUUAUGUACUAAGAUUGAUCU